rnacentral:rRNA from 1 species
UACGUAGGGUGCGAGCGUUGUCCGGAAUUACUGGGCGUAAAGAGUUCGUAGGCGGUUUGUCGCGUCGUCUGUGAAAACCCAUCGCUCAACGAUGGGCCGGCAGGCGAUACGGGCAGACUUGAGUACUGCAGGGGAGACUGGAAUUCCUGGUGUAGCGGUGAAAUGCGCAGAUAUCAGGAGGAACACCGGUGGCGAAGGCGGGUCUCUGGGCAGCUGAACUGACGCUGAGGAACGAAAGCGUGGGUAGCAAACAGG